UGCCCAGCAACUCCUAUCCCUACCUCCACGCGGUACCGACCGGAAACUAUGAGCAACCUUAGGGAAGAUCGGGUAACCAACCCCGGUGGGAACUUUGGUCGUAGGCUAACAGGGAAGG
rnacentral:ribozyme from 1 species